GAUGAACGCUGGCGGCGCGCCUAACACAUGCAAGUCGAACGAUUAAAGCACCUUCGGGUGUGUAUAAAGUGGCGAACGGCUGAGUAACACGUGGGCAACCUGCCCCUUUCAUUGGGAUAGCCACGGGAAACCGUGGAUAAUACCGAAUACUUCGAGACUUCCGCAUGGAAGACUCGAGAAAGCUCCGGUGGAGAGGGAUGGGCCCGCGGCCUGUUAGCUUGUUGGUGGGGUAACGGCCUACCAAGGCAAUGAUGGGUAGCUGGGUUGAGAGACCGACCAGCCAGAUUGGGACUGAGACACGGCCCAGACGCCUACGGGAGGCAGCAGUGGGGAAUCUUGCACAAUGGGCGAAAGCCUGAUGCAGCGACGCCGCGUGCGGGAUGAAGGCCUUCGGGUGGUAAACCGCUUUCAGCAGGGACGAGGCGAAAGUGACGGUACCUGCAGAAGAAGCCCCGGCUAACUACGU
rnacentral:rRNA from 1 species